rnacentral:rRNA from 1 species
UCCGGUGACCAUAGGCGAAGUGAAACACACGUUCCCAUCCCGAACACGUUCGUUAAGCCUUCAGCCGUCGAUGGUAGUGCGGCCAUGUUGCCGUGUGAGAGUAGAUUGUCGCCGGGU